AGUCAGAGGCGAUGAAGGGCGUGCUAAUCUGCGAUAAGCGCCGGUAAGGUGAUAUGAACCGUUAUAACCGGCGAUACCCGAAUGGGGAAACCCAGUGUGACUCGUCACACUAUCAUUAACUGAAUCCAUAGGUUAAUGAGGCGAACCGGGGGAACUGAAACAUCUAAGUACCCCGAGGAAAAGAAAUCAACCGAGAUUCCCCCAGUAGCGGCGAGCGAACGGGGAGGAGCCCAGAGCCUGAAUCAGCAUGUGUGUUAGUGGAAGCGUCUGGAAAGGCGCGCGAUACAGGGUGACAGCCCCGUACACAAAAGCGCAUGUGCUGUGAGCUCGAUGAGUAGGGCGGGACACGUGGUAUCCUGUCUGAAUAUGGGGGGACCAUCCUCCAAGGCUAAAUACUCCUGACUGACCGAUAGUGAACCAGUACCGUGAGGGAAAGGCGAAAAGAACCCCGGCGAGGGGAGUGAAAAAGAACCUGAAACCGUGUACGUACAAGCAGUGGGAGCACCCUUUGGGUGUGACUGCGUACCUUUUGUAUAAUGGGUCAGCGACUUAUAUUCUGUAGCAAGGUUAACCGAAUAGGGGAGCCGGAGGGAAACCGAGUCUUAACCGGGCGUUAAGUUGCAGGGUAUAGACCCGAAACCCGGUGAUCUAGCCAUGGGCAGGUUGAAGGUUGGGUAACACUAACUGGAGGACCGAACCGACUAAUGUUGAAAAAUUAGCGGAUGACCUGUGGCUGGGGGUGAAAGGCCAAUCAAACCGGGAGAUAGCUGGUUCUCCCCGAAAGCUAUUUAGGUAGCGCCUCGUGAAUUCAUCUCCGGGGGUAGAGCACUGUUUCGGCUAGGGGGCCAUCCCGGCUUACCAACCCGAUGCAAACUGCGAAUACCGGAGAAUGUUAUCACGGGAGACACACGGCGGGUGCUAACGUCCGUCGUGAAGAGGGAAACAACCCAGACCGCCAGCUAAGGUCCCAAAGUCAUGGUUAAGUGGGAAACGAUGUGGGAAGGCCCAGACAGCCAGGAUGUUGGCUUAGAAGCAGCCAUCAUUUAAAGAAAGCGUAAUAGCUCACUGGUCGAGUCGGCCUGCGCGGAAGAUGUAACGGGGCUAAACCAUGCACCGAAGCUGCGGCAGCGACACUGUGUGUUGUUGGGUA
rnacentral:rRNA from 1 species